rnacentral:misc_RNA from 1 species
GAAAUGCGAUAAGUAAUGUGUAUUGCAGAAUUCAGUGAAUCAUCGAAUCUUUGAACGCACAUUGCGCCCGCCAGUAUUCUGGCGGGCAUGCCUGUUCGAGCGUCAUUUCAACCAUCAAGCCCCGCGCUUGUGUUGGGGACCUGCGGCUGCCGCAGGCCCUGAAAACCAGUGGCGGGCUCGCUGUCACACCGGGCGUAGUAGAUUUUAUCUCGCUCAGGGCGUGCUGCGGGUUCCGGCCGUUAAAAAGCCUUUUUUACCCAAGGUUGACCUCGGAUCAGGUAGGAAGACCCGCUGAACUUAAGC